rnacentral:RNase_P_RNA from 1 species
GAUCACUUGGAUCCUGUCGCUCUGUCACAAUGGUGGCAGAGAGGAAAGUCCGGACAACACAGAGUACCGUACCAUUUGAAAAAGUGGGGCCCUGCGAAGGGAACAGAAAGUGUCACAGAAAAUAAACCGCCCUGGUGGUUUCCACUGGGGUAAGGGUGAAAUCGUGUGGUAAGAGCGCACGCCUUUUGUUGGUAACAGCAGAUGGAGACAAACCUUGCGGGUUGAAAUGCCAUGUACAUCCCGGCUUCCUUUGCGGAAUCGGAGUUACUCGUUCCUGUGAUCAGGCUUGCCUGGUCCGUCGGGAGGGGUGGGCAGAAUAGAUAAAUGAUGGGAGACCUGAGUAAUCAGGUCAACAGAAUCCGGCUUAUGAGAGAUGAUCCAAU